rnacentral:rRNA from 1 species
CCUACGUGUGGCAGCAGUGGGGAAUAUUGGACAAUGGGGGAAACUCUGAUCCAGCGACGCCGCGUGAGUGAAGAAGUAUUUCGGUACGUAAAGCUCUAUCAGCAGGACAGAAAAUGACGGUACCUGACUAAGAAGCCACGGCUAACUACGUGCCAGCAGCCGAGGUACUACGUAGGGGGCAAGCGUUAUCCGGAUUUACUGGGUGUAAAGGGAGCGUAGACGGCGGCGCAAGUCUGGAGUGAAAUGCCGGGGCUCAACCCCGGAACUGCUCUGGAAACUGUGAAGCUGGAGUGCAGGAGAGGUAAGCGGAAUGCCUGGUGUAGCGGGGAAAUGCGUAGAUAGCAGGAGGAACACCGGCGGCGAAGGCGGCUUACUGGACUGUAACUGACGUUGAGGCUCGAAGGCGUGGGGAGCAAACAGGAUUAGAUACCCCUGUAGUC